UACGUAGGGGGCAAGCGUUGUCCGGAUUUAUUGGGCGUAAAGAGCGUGUAGGCGGUUAGGUAGGUCCGUUGUGAAAACUCGAGGCUCAACCUCGAGACGCCGAUGGAAACCAUCUAACUAGAGUCCGGAAGAGGAGAGUGGAAUUCCUGGUGUAGCGGUGAAAUGCGCAGAUAUCAGGAAGAACACCCGUGGCUAAGGCGGCUCCUCUAGUACGGUACUGACGCUGAGACGCGAAAGCGUGGGGAGCGAACAGG
rnacentral:rRNA from 1 species